UACGAAGGGGGCUAGCGUUACUCGGAAUCACUGGGCGUAAAGGGUGCGUAGGCGGGACUUUAAGUCAGAGGUGAAAUCCUGGAGCUCAACUCCAGAACUGCCUUUGAUACUGAGGAUCUUGAGUUCGGGAGAGGUGAGUGGAACUGCGAGUGUAGAGGUGAAAUUCGUAGAUAUUCGCAAGAACACCAGUGGCGAAGGCGGCUCACUGGCCCGAUACUGACGCUGAGGCACGAAAGCGUGGGGAGCAAACAGG
rnacentral:rRNA from 1 species